GUGGGGAAUCUUGCGCAAUGGGCGAAAGCCUGACGCAGCCAUGCCGCGUGAAUGAUGAAGGUCUUAGGAUUGUAAAAUUCUUUCACCGGGGACGAUAAUGACGGUACCCGGAGAAGAAGCCCCGGCUAACUUCGUGCCAGCAGCCGCGGUAAUACGAAGGGGGCUAGCGUUGCUCGGAAUUACUGGGCGUAAAGGGCGCGUAGGCGGACAGUUUAGUCAGAGGUGAAAGCCCAGGGCUCAACCUUGGAAUUGCCUUUGAUACUGGCUGUCUUGAGUUUGGGAGAGGUGAGUGGAACUCCGAGUGUAGAGGUGAAAUUCGUAGAUAUUCGGAAGAACACCAGUGGCGAAGGCGACUCACUGGCCCGUUACUGACGCUGAGGCGCGAAAGCGUGGGGAGCAAACAGGAUUAGAUACCCUGGUAGUCC
rnacentral:rRNA from 1 species